UACGAAGGGGGCUAGCGUUGCUCGGAAUUACUGGGCGUAAAGCGCACGUAGGCGGCUUUCUAAGUCGGGGGUGAAAUCCUGGAGCUCAACUCCAGAACUGCCUUCGAUACUGGAGCUUGAGUCGGGAGAGGUGAGUGGAACUGCGAGUGUAGAGGUGAAAUUCGUAGAUAUUCGCAAGAACACCAGUGGCGAAGGCGGCUCACUGGCCCGGUACUGACGCUGAGGUGCGAAAGCGUGGGGAGCAAACA
rnacentral:rRNA from 1 species